UUGGCAAGUAGAUUCAAAAAGUUUUAAAUGAAGUAAUUCAUAAGGACCAGGCCGGUUUUCUCCCAGGUAGACAUCUGUUUGCUAACACAAGGAACAUUAUUGAUAUCUUGGAACUUCUCCAAACUGACAUAAAUACAAAAGCAGUUUUAAUUUUUAUAGAUGCGGAGAAGGCCUUUGAUAAUAUUUCUUGGAAAUUUAUGAUGGGAAACUUAAAAGAGAUGGGAGUGGGACGGGGUUUUGAGAAUGGGAUUGAGGCGAUAUAUUCAGAACAGAAAGCUAAACUGAUAGUUAAUAAUGUGGUUACAGAAGAGUUCAAAAUUGAAAAAGGGACACGACAAGGCUGCCCUAUCUCCCCUUUGUUAUUUAUUUCGGUUCUGGAAGUGCUAUUGAACAUGAUUAGAGGGGACCAGUUGGUGGAAGGAAUUCAGGUUGGUCAGAAACAAUAUAAACUAAAAGCUUUUGCAGAUGACCUGGUUUUGACCUUGCAGAAGCCAGAGCCUAGUACGAAAAGAGUAUUACAAUUGAUUAAUGACUUUGGUCGGGUGGCGGGAUUUAAAUUAAAUAAACAGAAAACCAAGGUUUUGGGAAAAAAUUUGACUGAGACAGAGUCAGAACGGUUUCAGAAUGAGACGGAACUUAAUGUGGUUAAAAAGUAAAAUACCUAGGGGUAAACAUAACAGCAAAAAUCUAAGUCUAUUUAAGGAUAACUAUGAAAAAUGUUGGACAGAAAUUAAGAGAGACUUAGACAGUUGGUCAAAAUUGAAACUUUCUUUGUUAGGCCGAAUUGCUGCGAUUAAGAUGAAUGUAUUGCCAAGAAUGUUGUUUUUAUUUCAAACACUUCAGGUUUUGGACAAAAUGGAGUGCUUUCAGAAGUGGCAGAGAGACAUUUCGAAGUUUGUCUGGCAGGGCAAAAAGCCCAGAAUUAAGUUUAAGAUACUAACUGAUGCAAAACAAAGAGGGGGCUUUGCCCUGCCGGACUUAAAGUUGUAUUACGAAGCCGCAGCGUUUUGCUGGCUAAAAGAUUGGCUACUUCUUGAAGACACUGAUGUGUUGGAUUUGGAAGGGUUUAACAAUGUUUUUGGAUGGCAUGCAUAUUUAUGGUAUGACAAAGUUAAAGCAAAUAAGGCCUUUAAGAACCAUAUUGUUAGAAAAUCACUGUUUAAUGUCUGGACAAAAUAUAAAGACUUGCUGGAAAAUAAAACACCAAGGUGGCUUUCACCUUUGGAAGCUAAGGCCCGAAAAAGACCCAAUAUGGAGGCCAAAUGGCCAAAAUAUUGGGAAAUACUAGAAAAGAUGGAGACAAUUGGAAAUUGCAGAGUUUGGAGAAAAUGAAAGACAAAGUGCGAGAUUGGUUACAUUAUGCUCAGAUUAAAGAAGUUUUUAAAAAUGAUAAGAAACUAGGGUUCCAGGUGGAGAAAUCGAAAUUAGAAACAGAAUUGUUAGAACCAAAGACUAAGAUACUUUCAAGGAUGUAUAACUUGCUGUUGGAAUGGAAUACACAAGAUGAAAUGGUUAAAUCGGCUAUGAUAAGGUGGGCACAGGAUAUUGGGCAUAAUAUUAUGUUUGAGGACUGGGAAAGGCUGUGGAGUAAUGGAUUGAAAUUUACUGCAUGUAAUGCUUUGAAAGAAAAUGUAAUGAAAAUGAUUUAUAGAUGGUAUAUGACCCCAGUCAAACUCGCAAAAAUUUACCACCUGUCUGAUAACAAGUGCUGGAAAUGUAAAGAGUGUGAAGGAACGUUCUUUCACCUCUGGUGGACCUGCCCUAAAGUGAAGGCGUUCUGGGAAAUGAUUUAUAAUGAAUUGAAAAAGGUAUUUAAAUAUACUUUCACUAAGAAACCAGAGGCUUUCCUUUUGGGUAUUGUCAGCCAAGGGGUGGCAAAGAAGGACCAAACAUUUUUAUGUAUGCAACAACAGCAGCAAGGAUACUACUCGCAAAACAUUGGAAAACUCAAGAUCUACCCACACUGGAAGAAUGGCAGAUGCAACUGAUAGACUAUAUGCAACUGGCUGAAAUGACUGGCAGAAUCCGUGACCUGGGAGAAGAGAGAAUCGAGGAGGAUUGGAAGAAAUUUAAGAACUACCUACAAAAACAUUGUGAUUUGACUGAAUGCUGAAUAAGAUGCUUGACUAAAUAACUGAGCACCACUUAACUUAGAAGUUUUUAAGAAAAUAAGAAAAACUGUGAAAGUUUAACUCUUUAUGAGAACUAUAAGAUCAUGAAAUAUCGAAGAGAUAUAAGAAUUUAAAUAAGAUGAUAAAUUGCUGACAAAAUGUUAUAAUGAUGAAGGUGGGAGCGGGAGAUGUGAGGAAGUCCAAAGAAAAUGUGAAAUUAUGUUAAGACGAAUGUUAUAUUGUUUAUUACAUUUAUUCCUAUUGUAAAAUCCAAUAAAUUGCUUU